rnacentral:rRNA from 1 species
GAUGAACGCUGGCGGCGUGCCUAAUACAUGCAAGUCGAGCGAACAGACGAGGAGCUUGCUCCUCUGACGUUAGCGGCGGACGGGUGAGUAACACGUGGAUAACCUACCUAUAAGACUGGGAUAACUUCGGGAAACCGGAGCUAAUACCGGAUAAUAUAUUGAACCGCAUGGUUCAAUAGUGAAAGACGGUUUUGCUGUGACUUAUAGAUGGAUCCGCGCCGCAUUAGCUAGUUGGUAAGGUAACGGCUUACCAAGGCAACGAUGCGUAGCCGACCUGAGAGGGUGAUCCGCCACACUGGAGCUGAGACACGGUCCAGACUCCUACGGGAGGCAGCAGUAGGGAAUCUUCCGCAAUGGGCGAAAGCCUGACGGAGCAGCGCCGCGUGAGUGAUGAAGGUCUUCGGAUCGUAAAACUCUGUUAUUAGGGAAGAACAAUUGUGUAAGUAACUAUGCACGUCUUGACGGUACCUAAUCAGAAAGCCACGGCUAACUACGUG